GGAGGGUGCGAGCGUUGUCUGGAAUCACUGGGCGUAAAGGGCGCGUAGGUGGCUCGUUAAGUUGCCGGUGAAAUCCCGGGGCUCAACUCCGGGGCUGCCGGUAAGACUGGCGGGCUCGAGCACGGUAGAGGCAGAUGGAAUUCCCGGUGUAGCGGUGGAAUGCGUAGAGAUCGGGAAGAACACCAGUGGCGAAGGCGUUCUGCUGGGCCGUUGCUGGCACUGAGGCGCGACAGCGUGGGGAGCAAACAGGAUUAGAUACCCUGGUAGUCCACGCCGUAAACGAUGGACACUAGGCGUCGGGGGGAGCGACCCCCUCGGUGCCGUCGCUAACGCAGUAAGUGUCCCGCCUGGGGAGUACGGCCGCAAGGCUG
rnacentral:rRNA from 1 species